UCCAGCUCGGUCCUCCCUAAUGUGGAGCUUAUUAUAUGGAGGAGCUUAAAGGCUACCCAUAUUUAGAUUGGAUGUAGAUUUGUGAACUAAUUUCUCUCGUCUCUAUUUGAAACUAUGCUAUGGCGUGCAAGCCAUGUUAGGUGGGGCCAUCUGUUUCCAGCUUCUCCCUUGACAAGUGAAAGGGCGCUUGGACUUGGAUCGAG
rnacentral:lncRNA from 1 species